AUUGAACGCUGGCGGCAUGCCUUACACAUGCAAGUCGAACGGUAACGGGCCUUCGGGUGCCGACGAGUGGCGAACGGGUGAGUAAUGCAUCGGAACGUACCUUUCAGUGGGGGAUAACGUAGCGAAAGUUACGCUAAUACCGCAUAUUCUGUGAGCAGGAAAGCAGGGGAUCGCAAGACCUCGCGCGAUAGGAGCGGCCGAUGUCGGAUUAGCUAGUUGGUGAGGUAAAGGCUCACCAAGGCGACGAUCUGUAGCGGGUCUGAGAGGAUGAUCCGCCACACUGGAACUGAGACACGGUCCAGACUCCUACGGGAGGCAGCAGUGGGGAAUUUUGGACAAUGGGGGCAACCCUGAUCCAGCCAUUCCGCGUGAGUGAAGAAGGCCUUCGGUUGUAAAGCUCUUCGGUCAGGAACGAAAAGGACGUCUCUCUAACAUAGGGGUCGAAUGACGGUACCUGAAGAAGAAGCACCGGCUAACUACGUGCCAGCAGCCG
rnacentral:rRNA from 1 species